rnacentral:sRNA from 1 species
UUCUUCCUUUUUUUUUUUUUGAGUUUUU